UCAAUAUUGUCAGGUAUUUUGCUUUCCAGGCUGUUCCAGACCCUUGGCUCCUCUAAAACCUCUUUUUGCUCACUUAGUGAUAAGGAAGAUUUGUUUUUUAUUAAAAUAUUAAAAAUGUUUUAUGCGUACAUGUAUUUUACCUACAUAUUUGUCUGUGCACCCUAUAUGUGCCCAGUACCUGGAGAGGUCAGAGGAGGGGCAUCCGCAUUGGAUCCCCUGGAACUGGAGUUACAUAUGGUUGUGAGCCACAUGUGGGUACUGGGAAGCAAAUCCAGACUGAAAGAGCAGCUUGAAACUUCUCCCCAGCCUCAGGAAGAUUUGUUUCUGUCUGUAUAAUGUGGCAUAAUCUUGUGGGUAAGGAUAGAGAUGGGCUGGUAAAAUGGCUUCAUGGUAAAGGCCACUUGACCUAGAGACAUGAGUUUAAACCCUGGAACCCAUGUAAAGGUGAAGAGGGAGAACCGCAGAAUCGUCUUCUGACUUUACAUACGCGCUGCAUUCUGUGAUCAGAUCUCCCCUGCCCCCCACCCCCUCACAAAGACAUUACUUUUAAAUAUAUUUUUUGAAAGAACACAUACAGUGCUGGGGAGAAGGGAAGACCUUAGGGUUCCAGCCUCAGCAUGGAAAAGAACAAAUCCCGCCUCUGAUUAGUAUCCUAACUUUGUCUUAGGAAUGAAUCAUUGUCAUCCCAUAUGCCUCAUUGUCCCCGUCUGCAUGUCAGUGUA
rnacentral:lncRNA from 1 species